AAUGAUUCAAAUAAUAAUAAUGAAGUCAAUGUAAAUAUGUGUGACACUGUUUCUGAUGAAACUCCUGCUUAUUCUCAUGACACUAGCAUGUUCCAAAAUGUUCAGGUCCAUAGUAAUAAUAACGACAAUCAACUUGGAAAUAUCUCAAAAAUAAAUCUGACUAAUGUAGAAAAUAAGACUAUUUGCAUCUGUGACAG
rnacentral:lncRNA from 13 species